rnacentral:lncRNA from 1 species
AGAAAAUACACAGAGUCCGGAGAUUUGUCAAAGCAGGAUCUCAAUUUAUUCCAAUAAGCAGGAACUUAUAUAGGGCUGAGGAACCUAUGACUAUUGCCACCUCCCUGGAAAACCACUAAGAAUCUCUGAGUGUGACCAAGGACCCACUUGGAUUGUCCAACUGGUUCAAAUGCAGUCACCAGGGCUCUCCUGAAGGAGUCAGAGCAGGAGUGGUGAUGGAGACCUCAGUCACAGAGAUGCAGAAGGAGAAAGAGAUGGUGGCUCUGGAGAUAGAGGAGAGGCAUGACCCAGGAGUGCCAUCCAUAGGCCUCUAGGAACUGAAAAGGGGCUAGAGCUCUUUACUAGAGUUUCCAGAACAGCACCUUGACUUCAGCACAGUGAAACACCCACUGCAGACUCUGGUCCUCUAGAAUUCUAAGAAAACAAAAAUGUAAUCUUUUGUUACAAAAAUGAUAGCAUAUUCAUACAAUCUCAUCAAGUUUCUCUUGUAUAUCAAGUACUGCCAACUUCCUGGGCUUCACCAGCACUUUGGGUCCAGUCAGCAUGCAUGUCAGGGUCUGCUAGUGUUGUUUUUUUUCUCCUCCCUGUGGCCUAUACCCGGUACCUCCAGCUUCAUAGCCAAACAAGUCAUGAAACUUCAGAUACCCCUCCUCACCCGCUGCUGCUAUUACAAAGGUAUGCCACCACAUCCGGGUUCUCUGGUGCUUGGAAUCAAACCCAAGGCUUUAUGCAUGCUAGGCAAGCACUCUGCCAACUGAUCUCCAUCCUCAGCCCUUUUCACUUUUCUGCAGGUCCUUUCUAUGUUUCAUGUGUCAUCCCUGUCCCUCAGCUACCCAAGUCCAGUUUCAGGAUCUUUGCUUCCCCGUGCCAAGGAGCACUCUCCCGUCUACUUUGAAUGGGCAUCACUUCUUAG